AGUACAAUGCCUCUUCAUUGUAUUUUUUUUCUUACCCUACAGGAUUCUCGGUGGUAACCAGCCUUCCAUGUGGCUGAACAGAUGCCAGUGUACCCGCAUUCUGAGACACAACUGGAUGCUCUCUUUUGCUUUUAAGAUUUCCAAUUCGAGAUGAUGUGCAGUUCAUGUUAGAUUUGUUAUUUCUACAGUUACAGUGAAGUAGAAGAGUCUGGCCGUGUUAUGGGGCAGCAGUUAAAGAAGAAGGAAGGAGAGAUGGGUGCCAUGUUGAAGUAGUGGGUGACCCUUCUGCCUGGCACUUCUAGAAUCCUCCAUCU